AGGCUUAACACAUGCAAGUCGAGCGGGCGAGGUUGCUUCGGUAACUGAGCUAGCGGCGGACGGGUGAGUAAUGCUUAGGAAUCUGCCUAUUAGUGGGGGACAACAUUCCGAAAGGAAUGCUAAUACCGCAUACGCCCUACGGGGGAAAGCAGGGGAUCUUCGGACCUUGCGCUAAUAGAUGAGCCUAAGUCAGAUUAGCUAGUUGGUGGGGUAAAGGCCUACCAAGGCGACGAUCUGUAGCGGGUCUGAGAGGAUGAUCCGCCACACUGGGACUGAGACACGGCCCAGACUCCUACGGGAGGCAGCAGUGGGGAAUAUUGGACAAUGGGCGAAAGCCUGAUCCAGCCAUGCCGCGUGUGUGAAGAAGGCCUUUUGGUUGUAAAGCACUUUAAGCGAGGAGGAGGCUACCGAGAUUAAUACUCUUGGAUAGUGGACGUUACUCGCAGAAUAAGCACCGGCUAACUCUGUGCCAGCAGCCGCGGUAAUACAGAGGGUGCGAGCGUUAAUCGGAUUUACUGGGCGUAAAGCGUGCGUAGGCGGCUUCUUAAGUCGGAUGUGAAAUCCCUGAGCUUAACUUAGGAAUUGCAUUCGAUACUGGGAAGCUAGAGUAUGGGAGAGGAUGGUAGAAUUCCAGGUGUAGCGGUGAAAUGCGUAGAGAUCUGGAGGAAUACCGAUGGCGAAGGCAGCCAUCUGGCCUAAUACUGACGCUGAGGU
rnacentral:rRNA from 1 species